GCCUUUGUAGCUCAGUGGUAGAGCACUUCCUUGGUAAGGAAGAGGUCGGCAGUCCGAUUCUGCUCAAAGGCU
rnacentral:tRNA from 5 species